GCCAUCAUAGCUCAGUGGAUAGAGCACUGCUCUCGUAAACCAGUGGUCGUGAGUUCAAUCCUCACUGGAGGUUGGCU